GACAGAGGAUGCAAACGUUGCUCGGAUUUACUGGGCGUAAAGCGCGCGCAGGCGGUCCCGUAAGUCGGACGUGAAAGCCCAGGGCUCAACUCUGGAAGUGCGUCUGAUACUGCGAGACUGGAGUACUGGAGAGGAGAGCGGAAUUCCCGGUGUAGAGGUGAAAUUCGUAGAUAUCGGGAGGAAUACCAGUGGCGAAGGCGCUGACCUGGACGAAGAUUGACGCUGAGGUGCGAAAGCCAGGGGAGCAAACGGG
rnacentral:rRNA from 1 species